AUUGAACGCUGGCGGCAUGCUUUACACAUGCAAGUCGAACGGUAACAGGCCGCAAGGUGCUGACGAAUGGCGAACGGGUGAGUAAUGCAUCGGAACGUGCCCAGUCGUGGGGGAUAACGCAGCGAAAGCUGUGCUAAUACCGCAUACGAUCUAUGGAUGAAAGCGGGGGACCGUAAGGCCUCGCGCGAUUGGAGCGGCCGAUGUCAGAUUAGGUAGUUGGUGGGGUAAAGGCUCACCAAGCCAACGAUCUGUAGCUGGUCUGAGUGGACGACCAGCCACACUGGGAAUGAGACACGGCCCAGACUCCUACGGGAGGCAGCAGUGGGGAAUUUUGGACAAUGGGCGCAAGCCUGAUCCAGCAAUGCCGCGUGCAGGAAGAAGGCCUUCGGGUUGUAAACUGCUUUUGUACGGAACGAAAAGGUUUGGGUUAAUACCCUGGGCCGAUGACGGUACCGUAAGAAUAAGCACCGGCUAACUACGUGCCAGCAGCCGCCGUAA
rnacentral:rRNA from 1 species